CCCAUAAUUUAUAUAUUGCUUGCCAAAGAGCACAGCUAUUAAAUGGCACUCGGGUUUGCUUAGUGCUACAUUUUCUCUUCUUUUCCCUUCAUGACAAGGGAAUUCUGCCAAAUUGUGGAGGGAAAAAAAAAUCACCUGCUAUUAUUUCUGUCAUCUUAAUGCUGCAAAAUAAUCUUCACAUUUAGUGGCAUGAAACAACCACCGUGUUCUUAUCCUCACCAAGUCUGCAGAUCAGAGAUUUGGACAUGACACUGACUUUACCAGUUUGCAAAUUCUGGGGGCCUCUGAAAAGCCUUGGGUGAGUAGCAAUGAGUUCAGUGUUGGGUAAUAGAAUUACCCGGAGGCGUCUUCAUUUAUUAUUUGGUGUGUCAACUGGGGUAAUUCAAAGUAUGAGUUCAAAAUUGUUGACAAACAGAUCUGAAUACAGUUUCUCCAUGUAACUUAGACUUCUUCACAGCAUGGAAGCAUAAAAGUAGUUGAGCUAGUAGGUGGGUGAAGGAUCCAAGAAUGAGUGUUCUAGGAAGUAUGCAUAUGGCCUUUUAUGACCUAGCAUCAGAAUUCACACAGAACUACUUCAGCAAAAGGCUAUGGGUUGAAGCAAUCACAAGCUAGUCUGACUUUAGGGGAAAAAACACAGUAUUUACAGCCAUUAACCAUGUAUCUUCUUCUUCAAGGGAAGACCAGUUGUCAGCAGUGGACGGAUUUGAACACAGUUUGUUAAUGUUACAUAUGCAUUUUUUUCUCGUCUUCCUUGUCAUUAUACUCUUUUUGUGAGAAAGGAUCAAAGUGUAAGCGUUGUCUGCUCUCAAAGUUGAUGUAGCCAUCUAUGUGAUUACUUUGGACUUCAGAAGAAAAAAUGGAAGAAGAAAAAGUUCAGGGAAAUGGACAAUAGAGCAAUCUUAAAGAAAGGAGAAUUCGGUACAAUGAGGGCUUCAUUCACAGACCAAUCAAGAUUUUUCAGUGUCAUAUAUUUGAUCUUUUUUCCUCUUCAUAUGGCCUCACUCUCUGAAACUACAUGGAAACCACUUAAGAGUUUAUGCUCCUA
rnacentral:lncRNA from 1 species